UAAACUUUCGGCAAUGGAUGUCUUGGCUCGCACAACGAUGAAGACCGCAGCU
rnacentral:rRNA from 1 species